rnacentral:rRNA from 1 species
GAUGAACGCUGGCGGCGUGCCUAAUACAUGCAAGUCGAGCGAACGGACGACAAUCUUGCUUUUCUGAUGUUAGCGACGGGCGGGUGACUAACACGUGGAUUACCUAUCUAUAAGGCUUGGAUAACUUCGGGAAACCGUAAUUAAUACUGGGUAAUAUUUUUAACCGCAUGGUUCAAAAAUGAAAGGGGGUCUUGCUGUCACUUCUAGGUGUAUCCGCUCUGCAUUAGCUAGUUGGUAAGGUAACGGCUUACCAAGGCAACGAUGGAUAGCCGACCUGAGAGGGUGAUCGGCCACACUGGAACUGAGACACGGUCCAGACUCCUACGGGAGGCAGCAGUAGGGAAUCUUCCGCAAUGGGCGGAAGCCUGCAGGAGCAACGCAGCGUGAGUGAUGAAGGUCUGCGGAUCGUAAAACUCUGUUAGUAGGGAAGAACACUUGUGUAAGUAACUGUGCACAGCGUGACGGUACUUAAUCAGAAAGCCACGGCUAACUACGUG